AAAAAUCAAAUGCUAACAAUAAUUUUAAGUCAUAAAAAUAAAAUCAAUAAAAAAAGUGUGUUAAAAUGGACCAGUUAGAAUAAAUAAUUAAAGUAAAAUAUUAAUAUUAAAAAAUACGAAAAUAAAAAUUAUAUAAAAUUAAAUAAAACGUUAAGAAAAGUGAAAAAUAUUUUUGGGUAAUUUUAUGGACGAAGAAAAUAUUUUA
rnacentral:lncRNA from 1 species